rnacentral:rRNA from 1 species
GACGAACGCUGGCGGCGUGCCUAAUACAUGCAAGUCGAACGAGAGCGCCCGGUGCUUGCACUGGUCAAUCUAGUGGCGAACGGGUGAGUAACACGUGGGUAACCUGCCCAUCAGAGGGGGAUAACAUCCGGAAACGGAUGCUAAAACCGCAUAGGUCUUCGAACCGCAUGGUUUGAAGAGGAAAAGAGGCGCAAGCUUCUGCUGAUGGAUGGACCCGCGGUGCAUUAGCUAGUUGGUGAGGUAACGGCUCACCAAGGCCGUGAUGCAUAGCCGACCUGAGAGGGUGAUCGGCCACACUGGGACUGAGACACGGCCCAAACUCCUACGGGAGGCAGCAGUAGGGAAUCUUCCGCAAUGGACGCAAGUCUGACGGAGCAACGCCGCGUGAGUGAAGAAGGUUUUCGGAUCGUAAAACUCUGUUGUUAGAGAAGAACAAGUGCUAGAGUAACUGUUAGCGCCUUGACGGUAUCUAACCAGAAAGCCACGGCUAACUACGUG